UACGUAGGGGGCAAGCGUUGUCCGGAUUUAUUGGGCGUAAAGAGCGUGUAGGCGGCUAGGUAGGUCCGUUGUGAAAACUCGAGGCUCAACCUCGAGACGUCGAUGGAAACCAUCUAGCUAGAGUCCGGAAGAGGAGAGUGGAAUUCCUGGUGUAGCGGUGAAAUGCGCAGAUAUCAGGAAGAACACCGGUGGCGAAGGCGCUCUGCUAGGCCGCAACUGACACUGAGAGACGAAAGCUAGGGGAGCAAAUGGG
rnacentral:rRNA from 1 species